rnacentral:misc_RNA from 1 species
GUAUUUGUUUUUUUAGUGGCACAAGGCCACUAUUGCAACAUUCUAUUUACAUUUUAGGGGUUUAUAUAAAGCAUAGACCAGAAAGACAAGAAAAGCUGAGUUUGCACACAGCAAAUUCUCUGACCGAGAAAAACUUCCUCGAGAGGAUUUCAGGCCUACAAAAUGUGCACAGGAGGUUGGAGAAAUAGAAUCAGUGUGCACAUGCUCCUAAGAGCCAGCAGCAACCAACUCUAAGUUUACUCAAUAAUGAUCCUUCCGCAGGUUCACCUACGGAAA